GUAGUCCACGCCGUAAACGAUGAGUGCUAAGUGUUAGAGGGGUCACACCCUUUAGUGCUGCAGCUAACGCGAUAAGCACUCCGCCUGGGGAGUACGGCCGCAAGGCUGAAACUCAAAGGAAUUGACGGGGGCCCGCACAAGCGGUGGAGCAUGUGGUUUAAUUCGAAGCAACGCGAAGAACCUUACCAGGUCUUGACAUCCCCUGACAACCCAAGAGAUUGGGCGUUCCCCCUUCGGGGGGACAGGGUGACAGGUGGUGCAUGGUUGUCGUCAGCUCGUGUCGUGAGAUGUUGGGUUAAGUCCCGCAACGAGCGCAACCCUCGCCUCUAGUUGCCAGCAUUCGGUUGGGCACUCUAGAGGGACUGCCGGCGACAAGUCGGA
rnacentral:rRNA from 1 species